rnacentral:rRNA from 1 species
UACGGAGGAUCCGAGCAUUAUCCGGAUUUAUUGGGUUUAAAGGGAGCGUAGGCGGGUUGUUAAGUCAGUUGUGAAAGUUUGCGGCUCAACCGUAAAAUUGCAGUUGAUACUGGCAUCCUUGAGUACAGUAGAGGUAGGCGGAAUUCGUGGUGUAGCGGUGAAAUGCUUAGAUAUCACGAAGAACUCCGAUUGCGAAGGCAGCCUGCUGGACUGUAACUGACGCUGAUGCUCGAAAGUGUGGGUAUCAAACAGG